UCAGCUCCUCUCUUGCCAGAUUUAAUGCACUUGUUCAUGCAACUUGUUUUCCUGAUGUUUCAAGUUCAUCUGACACAGCAUUAGCAUAUCUGAAGCUCAUCCAACAUCUAGCCGUUUAUAAAGGAUACAAAGAGGCUUUUGCUGCUCUUAAAAUAACUGCAUAGAAGUUUUUAUCCAUCUCAAAAUCAAGAAUUUUGUUACUGAAACUUCAGCUGCUCCUUGAGCGUGCUUUACAUAGAGGACAUUUGAAGUUUGCCCAACAAGUAUUUGAUGAGCUUGGAGUCCUGGCAUCAUCUGUCAAUGGCGUGGAUAUGGAACUGAAGACGGAAGCAAGUCUCAGAAAAGCUCGUAUUGCUUGCCGC